GGUGAGAGACUUGAGUAGGAAAGGCCUAUCUGUAGACAUGGUCAAAAGGCACAUCACAACAUGGAGCUACUACUGGGCUAAGUCUUACAUGCCCUAUGUUAGGGCUUGAUUCUACACUAUGUUGAAUCUUGACGUUAACAUCAAAUUGUUUAGUGGGGUAGACAGUAGAAGUGGGUAAAGAUUAAGAUUGAUUGUCUAAUAGGUGUACUAUUACUAACUUAUGCACAUUUUGGACCAACGAUGAAGAAUCAACGAAGUUAACAUGCCAAUUAUCAUAAUUAGACUAGCUCAUGACAAUAGGUCAUACAACUAUUUAUUCAAAAUAAAAUGUUUUAAUCCAUAAGUUUUACCUUAUUAAAUGGAUUACAAUUACAGGAAUUGACAAAUUAAAUCUUAGACAUAAAAGCAAUAGAACAUCUCACAUAGGCAACAUCAGAAUUUUGUUUACUGUUAUUCUGUCUUUGUUACAAGUAAACUCAGGACUUGUGACAACUUUCAAAUUGAACAAUCUUUGCUGUUCAGAAAUAUAAAAUAACUAAUUUAAACAUGCAAAGCUCUUCAACAACAAAAACGCUGGAGCUUGGUUGAGCAUUCAUCUAGCUAAGAAACUGAGUUUUGAGUUCAGAGAUUCAAUCUUUGAUCUGUCCGUUCAUAUAGCUAAGAAACUGAGUUUUAAGUUCAAAGAUUCAGUCUUUGAUCUGUCCAUUCGGUUCAUUCAUUGGGUAAGUGGUUCCACUAAAGUAAUACUAAUGUAUAUGGAGUUAUUAUUAUUAAUACGAUUUUGGAAAAUAAACAACGUAUACAAACUGUUCAGAACAUUUUGCAAUGAUAGCAUCUAUGAGGCUGUCAUAAGGACAUUAAGAUGUAUAUUUGACAUAAAUAUGUCAUGAUCUCUUCCUUUCUUUAUAAAAAUAUCUAUUUUUUAACUAUAUAAUUCAGUAGAGACAUGUGAUAAUGAUUCACCCUCUAGUUAAGUUUUGGAAGCAUAAUGACUGUAUAAAAGUGGUUCAGUUGUAACUCAAAACACAUAUGCACCAGAAUGAUAAUGACCAAAAAUAUUGAACGAAGGAAAAAUGAUAUCAAAGAAGAAUGCUUGCUCCUGGAAAGUUAUAAUAAUCGCUGGAAGUGGAAUAUUCAUGUGGUUCAUAAAGGUUCUUCCAUGAAUAUCCAUCUAAGUGUUUGACUUCAUUAACUUAUAUUUGAGUUUGUGCACCUUACAAACUUUUUCAUCCAUUUGAAAUCCCCUCAACUUGUGGAUUUCAACUUGGGCCAGGAAUUCCUUCUAAGUAUGCCUCACACGCAACAGCCCUUUAACUUGAGGAAGUUGGAUUCAACUUGAGAAAAUCAUACAAAAUUUAAAUCAGAUGACUAAGAAUUCUGUGAUUGCAACUGAUUGUAAUAAGUGCAGUCUAUAUAAUUGAAUGCAGAGAGCAUUAUUCUGCCAUAUGCUGUGAUUCCUGUAAUAAGGUAUGAUCUCCAUAAAUGUGUAUCUAUUUUCUGCACUAAAUCAAGUAUAGGAAAUAACCUUGUGAUUCUUAUAAGCUGUUUGAAGAAACUAUUGCGAUAUUAUUGCUGUAUAAUUUUAGUUUACCAUGCUUCUUUUAAUACUUGCCAACAAUUCUUUUCCUCAGUAACAUCCAUUAUUCUCAUAGUUACUUAUAUGUCCAUCUUCAUUGGGACAAGGAUCAUUGCCUUCAUCAAUUGUUGAUGUGUCCAGGUUUAAUACAGCUGAUUCAAAAAUGUUAUAUGACAUAUGAUGCUAUCAGUUUUUUGCAGAUUGGUUGCUCGAAUAGUAAUGCUUUUGAUAGAGGUCGAACUGUUUAUGUCGUUUGGAUUUCUGAAGUUGAAAUUCUAGUACUGAAACUCUUUUCUUCAGUAUCACAAUUUUGAUAUCCCCUUUUUUUUUAUCUCUAUAUCAUUAUUCUAUAAUGGGAAGAAAGAUCUGAAAUAGUAAGGAAGAAAUCUCAUUUUCUGAAAUAGGGAAACUAGAAAUCCCAUUUUCUUUAUUUAUCAUGAAAGUUAUACAGAAAGUGAAUUAGCAUCUAUUCUAGAUUGAUGUAUUUUUUAUACUAUUAAAUUGGUAUAAUAAGCUAAAUUGAGUUGAUUAGUCCAACUGUUGUGGACUAUGAUUUGAUUGUCCUUGGUCAAAUUGAUACCACAAAUCCUUCAAACGAGGUGUGAUUUGUGGACAUAACAUUAUUGCUCUCUUUAUCCUUGGAUACCUAUGAGAAGCAGGGUAUCGGAUGCGGUGAAUUCUAAGGUAAUGGAUACAGCAAUUCAUCAGCUAUAAUCCCUUUAUCCUGCAUUUGCGAUUACAUGGUGACUUGUUUGGAAUGCAGGUUGUCAUUGGAUUUGCGGAACUCAAGAUGCACAGAACGAUGAAACAAGAAGUAAUAGUUUUGAGGACAAGAGUUGCACUUGCAGCCUUGCAAUUUGUUGCAACAAGUUGGUUUCAUGAUGAUGUAGGGUGCAAAAGUAAUCCCAAAUGUGCAUUUGGCCAUCAUAUAAGCUAUCAAAAGUAUUUAAAGGGUGUUAGCUCUAAAAUAUGUUGAAAUUGAAUCGAAAAAAUUGAACUCAAAUUAAACCUAAAUCGAAUUGAUUCAUCAAUAAUUUAAUUUUGAAUAUUAUAAAUGGUUGUAGUUUAGGAUGGUACUUUUUGAUUUGAUUAAUCGAUUUAGAUCGAGUCGAAUUGAUUUUAAUUUAAAAAAUAUUUACUCAACCCAAACAUCUCAAACCUCUAAAAUCUUUUCCAAACUCUUAAGUGUUCAUCAUCUUUCUUUCUUCAUAUCUAUACUUCUUUCACAUCAUCCCUUUCUUAGUCUUACUCUAUCGUCUCAUAUAUAAUCUUUUUUUUUUAUCCUUCUUCGUUAAUAAUUUUUUUGUUGAUUUAUAUGAAUUCCUUUGUUAAUUUGAAUAUAUUGCUUGCAUAUCCUCAUCAUUAAGAAAAAAGGACGGCUUGUGAAGUUGUUAAUUUUCUAGGAUAUCUUUUAAUAUAAAAAUAAAAAAUCACUUGCGUCCAACUGUUUAGAAUAUUUGGAAUGAUAUUUAUGAUAUAAAUUUUUGAGAAUGUAUGUCCAAUUAGAUCAAAAUUUUAGUUUUAUUCAAUUAAACUGAUUGAUUCAUCAAACCUAAUCAGUUCGUUUGAAAUAUAUAUUAAAUUACUUAAAAUUAAAAACUGAUUACUCGAAUCAGAUUAAUCAGUUUUGAACCGAUUCAAUUAGGUACGUCUAAAAUAGUUUUGAUCUGGAGUAUCUUGAUUUAGGGGGGUGAGUGGUGUGGUGUAUGAUGAGCAAAAAUAAAGAGUAUAGUGAGAGAUGAUUGAGUGAAAGAGCUUGGGAAAGAUAAGUGGUAGAAAUGAGAAUAUUAACUUAUAUUUUCAAUCAUAACUUGUCUUCCCAAUCAGUUAACUUUGAUUAGUUUAAGAAAUGACUUAAUAAAUCUAAAUAAGUGUAAAAUAACUAUGUAAAGAUAAUCAAGUGAGGUUAGAAGGCUUGCUUUAGGUGGAAGAGGCGAAAAUAAAGAAUGCUAAGAGUUAGUCAUAAGUCAAAUACAAUUAGGGGUUUAAUCAAUUCUAUUCUUCGAAUUAAUACAUCAUAUAAACUUCAAGGGUAGGGAACAUUUCUUCCGUAAAUAACCCUUAACAUAAAUAAAAUGAUCUAAGACUUUUGGCCUUGAACGUUGAAAUGGUAAUAAAGUGGAUUGUGAUGGUACAGUAGAGGUGAUGGUGCUUAAGGUGGUGGUUAUUGAUAGGGGCUACGUUAACAAUAAUUAAUGAUUUAUAUGAUUGCUCCUUUUCGUGAUGGUGUCACUGCUAUGAUGGCGAUGAUGCUGCUGCGAUGAAAACGAAGGAGAUGGAUGGUGAGAAGAACGAGGGAAUAAGAAGAAGUAAGGAUAGGGUCUCUCGUCCGUCAGGACUAUCUUAUCAUUUAGGUCUCUUACCUAAGGUUCUUCAUGGCUACAAGCACUAAAUUCUUCAUUUAUUUAUUUCAAAAUAUGGAGGAGGGUUUACAAUACUUUUAUAAGAAUGUAUAUCCUUUGGAUGAGUGACAAAUGCCCCUUCUAGAAAAGAAGUGGGUAUGGAUCCAAAGGAUAUAGACAAGUGUCAACAAUUAGAUGAGUAUCAAAUGCUUUCUUCUAGAAGAAUGGUGGGCAAAUAUUCAUAAAAUGAGGAUAAAUGUCUAUCCUUGCAUGAAUGUCACAUACCCUCCUAAACGAGAGGGAGUUAAAGAUUCAUAGGAUGGAGACAUAUGCCCACUCCAAAAUCCCCUACCACAUGCACUUUAAGAUGUGUGCAUGAGUGUAGUGCCCGAGUCUUAUGUAUAUUAAAUUACAACUAGCAUCUCAAUAAAAAUAAAAAUAAUAUAUAUGUUACUCUCAUUUAGUAAUAUAAUUUGUGAUGUUUAUGUUUCAUUAAUAUGAUAAACGAUCGUUAAAGUUAAAGUAUAAAAUUUUCAAAAUAUGUUAUUCAUAAUGUUCUAACAAAUUUUGGUUGAGUAUGCAUAGUAUCAAUGUCUACUUUAAGCAUAUUUUAUAUUUUAUAGUAAUAAGACAAAGUGUGCUAGUGGACUUGAAUAUGAGAUAAAGUUAUGAUAAUAAAUAUUCAUAUAAUGACUAAAAGUGGGGGUUAAAAUUUAAUUGAUCUAAAGUGAAUCUCUUGAAUAAGUUUUAAACAUCAUAUAUAUAGAUAAUAAUAAGUUAUUUCGACAUAGACGAGUAACAAAAAAUUAAAUAGAAAUAUUGAGAUACAUAAGUAAGAUUAAAGAAUGAGUUUAGAUCAAAAAUGUCAUCUUUGUCAAACCAAAUUAAAUUCAAUUAAAGUUGUUUCAACCUUAUAAUUAUAUUAGUUAAGAAAAAUAAAAAACUUUAAAUAAGGUCCAAUGGGAUUGAACCAUAGACAUCAAGCUAACCUCUUAAGCACCUCUAUCUUAUUUUGAUCUCAUAAUCUUUAUCAACUUGAUAACUCAUAACCCUUUCUCUUCUUCAAUCAUUCUCUCAGUUUUUCUCAUGGAGGAUAGGAAAUCCUAUCUCAAGUUGAGGUAAAAAAAACCUAAUUCUUCCCUUGUUAUAUCUAGGAUUUUGAUUUUAUAAAUUAUAGAUUGAUCUUUUUAGUUGCUUUUGAAUAACCUUUGCUUUGAAUUUAUAUUUGAUUUUUAGACAUAUUUUAUAUAAAUCUCUUAUGGUUCUAAGGCUUUUAGUAUGACUUUAAUAUAAAAUUGGUGUAUAGAACUAUUAGUGCCCCAAUAUGAGAUACUCAGAAUCUUUUAUUUUUUGAGAAAGAGUUCUAUUUAAGCUGAUUUGACCCACUUAUGGAUAUGAUUAGAUUUUUUCUUUUGAUAUAUUUUAAAAUGUUCCCUUAGUAUUGCGUGGGAUUUGAAUACGAGUAAAUACCCCUUUGUGUAUCAAGAUAUGAGGUAUAUAAGUUCAAAUAGUCCCAACCUAAUUUCAAUGGAACAAAAUAGUUAUUGAUAAUUGAAUUAGAAGAGUAAUUUAGCCUCCAAAUGAUUCCGUUUUAAGUUAAAAAUUAGUGUGUAUUUAGUUCUAUAUAGUUUUUAAAUUUUUUUAUAACAUUUCAUGAUAAUUCAAAAUUGUGUCAUUAGUUAAAAUAAUGAAGUGAAAUUUCUUGAUUGAUAUUAGUUUAUUUAAUUAUAGAGUGAAUUGUUAAAAGAAAAUUUGGUGGUGAAAUUUUGAUGAAUUUUCAAAUUGACUAUAGUCUAUUUUAUUGAGAUUUUUAUUAAAUUUUUUCUAUAAAUUUUGUUAUGAAUUAUUAUAAAUCAAUAAUUCAAGAGAUAGAGUUCCUAAUUAAGGCAUGUCAUGAUCCUAUGCUCUCAAUUUGAUAUAUGUAUCAUUCCUUAACAUACUUAAUUAUUACAAAAUAUGAACUUUCAUUGAUAUCUUCAUUUCUGAGUUAAAUAAGAUAAGUAUAAGUCUAAUCCAUUGCAAAAUGGUGAUCAUAUAAAUUAUCAUAUUCAUAAUAUAUUUUAAAAAGUAUGUUCUAAAUGAUAUGAUUGUUAUAAGCUAGACAGCUAAAUGUGAAUAUAUAUAUAUUUUUUAAGUAUAAAAAUAUAUGAAUUGUGAUAAAAAUUAUAUUGUAUUCAUACAUAUAUGAUGACGUAUAGUGUAGGAAUGCAUAAAUAUAUUAUGAUGUACGAUGCAUGUAUAUGCUAUGAUGUACAAUAUAGGAGUGCACGUAUAUAUUAUGAUGUGUAGUAUAGAAGUGUACGUAUGUAUUAUGAUGUGUGGUGUGAGAGUGUACACGUAUGUCAUGAUAUAGGUGGUAGAUGUCCAUAAAUUUAUCAUGUUUCUUUUGCAUAUACUAUGUUGUAGGGUUAUGCUUCCGAAAAAAGUCAUACAAUUAGGUGUUUAUUGUUAAAUGUCUUAUGUUGAUGAUUUUGAAGUAUUGUAUACAUGACAUGAUAUAUGCUCACUUAAAUAAAGUUAUAAAGAUUUAUACUAAGUGAUAUUCAAUAUAGACCCUAUUUUACAUGUAAAAAUAUUAGUAUUUCGCCCAUGUGAUUGGGUAAGGAAAUGAGCACGCUUGAGCCUAUGCUACUAUAGACAUGGACAAUGACCUAUAGACAUUUGUUUAGUUAUAACUUUUUGACAUAUUGUGUGAGUGUGUUUUCCGCUUUGUUAGAUGCUAUAAUUAUGUACAAGUGUCAAAAUUACUGUGUAUAAGGGGAGCACUAUCAUUUUAUUUAAUAAAUUAAUAUGUUUUAUUUUUAAGAUUACCUACAUUCCUAUUGAUAGCAGUAAAAGAACUAGAAAGUGACAAUCUACUUUAAUCAUAUAUGUAGGGUGUGGGUGAGAUGAGAAGGGUAUUACAAUGAUAUCCCCCUUUAAUGACCCCAUAAAAGCCCAAGCUCAAUAUCUAAUAUAGUGCGGUAGAGGUAAUGACACUUAAGGUGGUGGUUGUUGACAUAAGCCUGAGUUAAUGACAAUCGAUAGCUAAUAUUGUUACUCUUUUUAGUAGUGGUGUUGUUGGUAUGAUGGGGAUGAUGUUGCUACAAUGAAAACAAAGGAGAUGGAUAGUGGGAAGGAGAGAAUUAAAAAAAGAUAGAGUAGAGUCUCUCACCCUUGAGGGCUCCCUUCUCAUUUAGGCCUCUUAUCUAAUAUUCUCCGUGGUCACAAGUACUCAAUUAUUAAUUCAUUCAUUCAUUCCUGAGAGAGGGUUUAUAAUACUUUUAUAAGGAUAUCCAUUGGAUGAGUGAUGAAGAUAAGUUUUCAUUUUUAAAUGAGUAACACAUAUUUACUUCUAAAAAAAUUAUAGAUAGGGCCUACGAGAACAAGUGUCCACCCUUAUACAAAUGUCACAUGUCCCUUUUUAGAUGGAGUUAGAUUCAUAGGAUGAAGAGAUAUGUUCACUCCAAAAUCUUCUACCAAGUGCACUUUAAGAUGUGCCUAUAACAUAUCUUUGAUGAUCAAUACAAGUCCAAACCCAAAUUCCAAUAUAAUACAAAUAUAUCUAAUGUCCAAAGUUUACUCUAAUAUAAUAAAAAAUAUUAAAUAUAAAAAUAUAUCUUGCAUUAGCAUUUAGGCUGGCUUCAUUACAAUACAAAUUUUUGGAUCAAAAUCUUGUCAUCACUAUCUAAAAUGGUUUUAAAAAUUCACUCAUUUAGAUUUAGAUCUUACUAAAUAUAGUCUAAUAGUAUAAUUUAAAAUCAUUUGAAGCCAUACAAAUUAUUCAUAUAAUUAGUAAAAGUACAUUUAAAGUUCCUAUACAUAACUAAGAAUAAUCUAAUUAAGGGACCCAUUAGUUUGACAAUCAUAGCUGAUUUAUAACCAUAAAGUUUCACAUUUUAUAUGAUAUCAUCUCCUGACAUGCAACUAUUUGAAGUUUGAAUUUUGAUGAUAUUCUUUCCGAAGCAACUUGGUCAAAAUGUAUCAAAUCAUUGAUAUUUAAAGGGACAAAACGACCAUCAUUGAAUUCAUGUUCUUGAUAAUUCUAAAAUUUAUGUCCAAAGAAAACUCUGUAUUUUCUAAUGAAAAAAUAAAUGUUAUUGAACACUUGGAAUAUUUCGUUGAGAGUCGACUUGGCAGAUAAUUUCGUAAAUUGAUGUUCAAAUUUUAAGAGUUAUGAUGCCUGCCAUGGGAAAAAAAAAUUGCAAAGCAUUUUUCACAAGUCGUAGGUUCGAUAAAAAUUUUUAUAUCAACUAUUCUAUUUUCAUUAUAUCUUUUUUAGAAUUAAAAUAUUAGUUUGAUAUUGAUACACUAUACUCAUCUAUCAAAUGUUGAGUAUUUGAAAUUUGAUCAUAUCAAUUAGGCAUCAACAAGAUCUUGGAUCAAAUUCCACCUUCACAUACUAUUCACCUUAGUGCAACACCAAUAAACUAAUGCCAUCGGUUUCAUGUAUAUCGAAAUAGGUAUAUCUAUAAACAUGAGGAUGAUUGGGAGACACGUCAUUCGUAAAUCGGAACAGAGCUUGUAGAUUUGGACUCACCCACAGAUUUGAUGAAGUAAUCAUAUGAUGUGGAUCAGGAUCGAGCCGAGAAAUGUUGACUGGCCAACAGGGCCGAGUCCAAAUUGGGUUGGGGGGUCAAUCGAUUUGCUAGUCAAAAUCGCAAUCAUGUAUAUUUGACACACCAACGGUAUUAGGGGACCGGAAGGUGGCCAUGUUCACAUGUUCGUGGGAAAGUAGGGGUUUGACGAAAGGGAACGGUCCUAAUUGAUGAUGCGAAAAGAACGAAGAAGAAUAACAACAGAAUUUUUUUUGUUUACUUAAAUUCAAUCAUGCAUUAUAACUAUAUAUAAAAAAGUCUUUAUUAUUGUGCUUUUAUGCUCUCUUAAUUAGUUUUUACUUACAGAUAUUAUUUUUUUAUCAUUUUAACGAAAAUAGUCCUUCGUCCUCCACCCAUCGUUCCAAUCAUUGGUAUGUAUAUCAUUAUCGUCUCGAUCCACUACGAAUGGUGUUGUUUGUAUCUUUCGUCGUCUUUAUCUCUACUCCAUUGACAAUCAUAUUAUUCGUCACACCCUCCUCUUUCUUUGCCAUUAAUCAUUCGUUGUUGUUUGUUGUAUUCUCCUACUCAUCUCUUCCUUGUAUGCAAUAUUCGUCUAUUAGAGUCCUAUACUCCCAUUGCAAGUGGAGUGAUGAGGAAGGAGGGAGAGGACAAAAAAAACCAUAGGCUACACCACUCGUAAUGGAGGCAGUCUAUCGAUAAUUGAGAGUAAUUAGUGAAAGAUAAAUGAAUUUUUCAAUCAAAUUAAUAAAAAAAUUAAAAAAAUACUCAAUUUAAUUAUAGCAAAUUUUGAAGUAACAUAUUUAGUCUAUCCACUAUCCAUAAAAUAUUAAGAUAUUUAUUAAUAUAUAUUAAUAAUAAAGAUAAUCAUUAUUAAAUAUGAUUAUUAAGAGUCAUAAUACUUAUAUUUCUUUAACAAAUGUUAAAGAGCAGGAAGCUCAAUUAAUAUUUUAAUAUAUAUAUAUACAUAUAUUAUACAUAAAUAUGAUCCUUGCACUUAAAAUAAUAUAUUAUCAAUGAAGCAUAUACGUCACCAAUUAGUAAUUAUUAUUAAACAUGAUUAUUGAGACUUAUUACUUUAAAGGAUACUAAUAUCAAUUAAUAUUCAUAUAUAUAUAUAUAUAUUAUUGAGAGUUAUAAGACUUUAAAUUUUCUUGCCAACUUUUGAAGGGUACUUAUAUCAAUUAAAAAAUCAAUUAAUAUCUUGAUACGUGGACAUGUACGUCGACAUAUACAUUACUCGGGUAAAUAUAUAAAUCACUAACUUUAGAAGGAUAAAAAAUAAAGAAUAAACGGACAAAAAAUACGACCAACGAAGGAAAGAUAGCGACGAGGAAGCGCCCCCAAACCGGCGACAAAAGAAGGGAAUAGAAACGGUACCUUCUUCCCCGAUCUCCCUCUCCUUUCCGAUCGAUCCCUUUCACUCCUCUCCAUGGCCACGCACUCUCUGCCUCUCCUCCCCCUCCUCCUCCUCCUUUCCGCCUUCUCCGUCCCGGUUCCUCGAUCCUCUGCCGCUGCGGCGGCAACGUCGGAAGCGCCUUUCUGCCCCCGAUCCGACCUCGCCUUCGUCGGCGGCCUCAUAGCGCAAUGCCCUCGCUGGAUCGAGCUGUCUUUCCCCCUGGAGGUACGCUUUAUUUACUCCCUUCUUCUUGCCGUUGAAAGAUCAGUCCCUUUCGCUCGAUGACAUCUUCCUCUUCGCUAUUGGUCUUGGAGUUUUGAUGAUUCCGCAUAAGUCGUUCGAAUCCAGGGCCUGAUUCAUCUGCAAUAGGAUUUUGUAGGUCUGGAUCUGUUCUUCUGAUAUCAACGGUGGCAGAAUCGUAAUUAUAAGGAUGUGACGUUUUAUCUGAGUAUAGCAUUCGUUAAUGCAAGAUGUUCUGAAUAGUGCUAACGCGAAAAUAUACUGAUCUUUCUGAUCUUUUCACUUUUGUUACAAGUUGGGGUAGUCGAUUAAUAUGGUUGUUCUGUUUCUAUGCAUAAAAUAUGCUACUAAUGCGUGCACAGAUGAAAAUAAGAAGCCCACUGAGACAUGCCUUGAUGUUGAGCAGUUAGCUUUACACUAUCUUACAGUUGAUUGAGCCUAGAAUUAUGUAUUGCAUGCAUUAGUUCCUCAUAUGUGAUUAAUCUGCUGAAAUAUUUGCUCUUCAUUGGGUUUUUGUUGAUGCCAACUUAAGAUGAACUGAGAAAGGGGAGAAAAGGAGAUUAAAAAUUUUCUAGAACAGUACAGUCUCAGUUCUCUAUUGGUCCUCAGCUAAAUUUUCAAUUAUUACCCAUGGACCAAGUAUGUGUAGUGUGAUGAAUUGAGAAAAGGGAGAAAAAUGAGAUUAAAAAUUGUCUAGAACAGUACAGUUCCAGUUUUAUAACUGUCAGAAAUAGGAUGAUGGACUCACACCUGUAUUGGUCCCCAACUAAAUUUUCAAUUACUACCCAUGGACCAAAUAUGUGUAGUAUUUGAUAUAAUCUUCUCUUUUCUUGUUGUUAGUGGCAUAAUUAGAUGGUUCUGUGUCAUUAUUUUUGUCAAGCAGAGUGUGACUUUGAAUUACUAAUUAAUUCUGAAUUGGUUGUGGCUGACAAAAUUUCUUGGGAACUGCUUUGAAACCAUAUAGUGAAAUACCUUACAGCAUAGAACUUCUCACAAUAGUUUGUUGCUGAUUCAGUGGUCUAUGCUAUCAAGCUAACUAAUAUCUUUAUACCUUAUUGAGUUUGUACUAGUCAGGGCCAUAUAUUUUUAAUUUAAAUUAAAUUAAAAACUUUCAGCAUAGAAAUCGGGAACCAGAUGUUUAACCUAAUAUGCUGGUGCAUAGGAUAUGGAAGCAUAACCAUCACAUGCUUUUGCAGACGGUCUACUUGUUUGUUGAGACUUGGAUGAGAAACACUUCAAUUCUUUUUGAGAUAUUUGAAGCUUUAAACAGUAUCAUAGUAUAAAGAAUGUGAUCUCUUUUUGUGAUUGCUUUGGUAAAUUUUUAUUUGCUUUUCCUCAAAAGUGUAACGUGGUUGAACUUUAUAGGUGCAUUGUUCAAUUUUUGUUGGAAAUUGAUAUGAGACAUAUGCAUAAAUAUAGUUAACUACCCAAAUAGUUUAUAACUUUAAUGAGUGUGCCUUUAUGAUUAAUAGAGCCUUGCUGUAGUCUUAGACAUGCAUUUUCAGAAGAUAAAAUCAUAACAUUAGAGAAAGCCUUUUUUGAUUAAAAUGAUAAAAGUCAAAUAUUUGGCCCUUCGAUCAUCUGGUGACAUCCUUGGAUGAAACUAAAUUGUUGAAACGAUAUAUGCACACACGCAUGUGCAUGCACUUAUGCACACACACACAUACACACACCACAUACAUUGAAUGAGAAAAACUGAUCGUGUAUAUUUGUUGGAUCAUAUGUUACUUCAGCCAAAAAAAUAACAAAAAAUUGCAAAAACUUUUUUUUUUUUGGAGCUAUUCUUUCAAUUUGCAAUACUAUGGCCGAAUUGAAAGGUGAUAAAACAUUAAUUGUGGAGAUACAUCCUUGAUACUGACAUAGUGUUUCUUUCUUUGAUGAGGGAAAAUUUGGUACUAUUGAAGAAUUUGGAGUAUGUAGCAUGUGGAAACAAAGAAUCUAAGAUGUUGUGUGUAUCGUUAGAAAGUAGUAACAGGUAAUACUCAUCAAAAGGAGAAAAAAGAAGAGAUUGAGAGAAAAAAAAUGAUGAGAGCAACUAUAAGCACUUUUCAGUAAUAUGAAAUCCCUCAGAAUUUCAUAAAACCAUUUCUUGAUAGCAUUUAUGAACUUCUCAUGUGGCUACUAGUUCUAGAAACUAUUGAUCCAGAAGAUAUGUCUACAGUAAGUAUUCCUGUAGUUCUUCAACUGGAAAAUGAGAGUUUUGCUUAAAGUUUUUCACCAAUUAUACUCUUAGGAGUAUCUAAACUUAUAUGAAUGUUGAUUGCAUCUUGGAGAGAUUUUUUUCUGUGAAGCAAAGAUCAAUUGAGAGUUCAUAUAUCUUUGAAUAGUUGUUAUUUUUAGAAAUUAAGCGGCUCAUUAUAUCUUAAUGUCCUUUCAUGCUGUUGUAAUUUCAUAUUAAGUAGCACAACAUAAGCACCUGACUUAUUCAGCAUAGACAUUGAUUCUUUCUAUGGUUAUUAACAUAUAUCAAAACACCACCGGAAUCUAAGGAUUACCUGCAAUGACUUCCAUGCCUUUCAUCAUAAUUGCCCAUCAUCAUAACUUUCUUACCAUAUAUCUAAACUUUGCUCUAGAUCAGCACUGUAGGUCAAUGUCCAAGAUAUGAUCUGAAGUAAUUCUAAAAUGUAGUUUUUCAGCCAAUCAGGCUGAAUUUGGGAUGAAUAUAUAUAGAAAUAUUGAUACAAGUGAACAUCAUUUAGGCUGGUAGGCAAAGAAUCAUUAACUCAAAAGCUUCUGACAACAACAAUGAUGACAAAAAAGUCGUAAAAUCUCAAUUAUUUGAAGUCGGUUACAUGGAUAUUUUGUGGUCAUUGAGAUCUAUAAAAAAUCAUAUGUUUAGUUAAGUUAGAACAUUUAAAUCUUAAUUUAUAGUUUAUAUUAAGAUCUUCCUAUACUUCUUCUUAUACCAUUGAUAGUAAUUAUUUCACCUCUUAACUAUCGCAUUUGUAGGUCUCGGUUUUAAGUACAUAUCUAUAAACGAUUAUUUCUCAUCUUAUCCUAUAUCAAGUUGAUACCUAAUUAUUCAUGAAUAAAACCAUUUCUUUCCCUAUCUUUCCUAUUAUAUCCACACAUUCACCUCAAUAUUCUCAUCUCAGCGGAACAUAUUUUUUAUAUAUGUUGUUUCUUAGUUGCCACACACAUCCAACAAAUUAUUUUAUUGUUUCUAAUAAAAAAAUUCUUUUAGCCUUAAAGGUAUCUAAUGAUCACAUAAUAUAUGUAUUUUAACCAUAUUAUAUAUUAACCAAUUGAGAAAGAGGAGAAUAAACUUUUUUUAACAAUGUUACAUAUCCUCCAUCACUUUGUUUCCUUUUCUUCUCUCCAUGUGAAUAAAUGGGGUUACUGCUCCAUAUGUGUAUGUUCAACUUAUUGUAAUUUAGCAUACCUUACUAACAUCCUUGAUUGAUCUAUCUUAAAAGCGAGUAGCAAAUUUAGUUAACCAUGUGGUAUUUUAAUCUUAUCUUAUACCUUUGUGAAGCUAAAAUAUAUUGUCGUCUAACCCAUUAAACCAAUAUGAAAAAGUUUUAUAAAAUAACUCAAGACCUAAUGAAAAUGAAGAAUUUUAUGAUAUGAUCUUUAACAUCUUGGCAUCUUUGUUGUAGUUUCAAUUGUUUUACUAAUGUUUGAACCAAGGUAUGCAAUUUCGUACCGUACCGGAGUUUCGACGCUUGUUCGGUAUGGUACGAAAUUGUAUACCAUUCGGUAUACCGCUCGGUAUACCAUUCGGUAUACCGUUCGGUAUAUAUAUAUAUGUAUAAAUUAUAUAUAUAUGUAUGUAUAAAUUAUAUAUAUAUAUUUUUUAUAAAAGGCGACGUCGCCUUUUCCUUCUCCCACNNNNNNNNNNNNNNNNNNNNNNNNNNNNNNNNNNNNNNNNNNNNNNNNNNNNNNNNNNNNNNNNNNNNNNNNNNNNNNNNNNNNNNNNNNNNNNNNNNNNNNNNNNNNNNNNNNNNNNNNNNNNNNNNNNNNNNNNNNNNNNNNNNNNNNNNNNNNNNNNNNNNNNNNNNNNNNNNNNNNNNNNNNNNNNNNNNNNNNNNNNNNNNNNNNNNNNNNNNNNNNNNNNNNNNNNNNNNNNNNNNNNNNNNNNNNNNNNNNNNNNNNNNNNNNNNNNNNNNNNNNNNNNNNNNNNNNNNNNNNNNNNNNNNNNNNNNNNNNNNNNNNNNNNNNNNNNNNNNNNNNNNNNNNNNNNNNNNNNNNNNNNNNNNNNNNNNNNNNNNNNNNNNNNNNNNNNNNNNNNNNNNNNNNNNNNNNNNNNNNNNNNNNNNNNNNNNNNNNNNNNNNNNNNNNNNNNNNNNNNNNNNNNNNNNNNNNNNNNNNNNNNNNNNNNNNNNNNNNNNNNNNNNNNNNNNNNNNNNNNNNNNNNNNNNNNNNNNNNNNNNNNNNNNNNNNNNNNNNNNNNNNNNNNNNNNNNNNNNNNNNNNNNNNNNNNNNNNNNNNNNNNNNNNNNNNNNNNNNNNNNNNNNNNNNNNNNNNNNNNNNNNNNNNNNNNNNNNNNNNNNNNNNNNNNNNNNNNNNNNNNNNNNNNNNNNNNNNNNNNNNNNNNNNNNNNNNNNNNNNNNNNNNNNNNNNNNNNNNNNNNNNNNNNNNNNNNNNNNNNNNNNNNNNNNNNNNNNNNNNNNNNNNNNNNNNNNNNNNNNNNNNNNNNNNNNNNNNNNNNNNNNNNNNNNNNNNNNNNNNNNNNNNNNNNNNNNNNNNNNNNNNNNNNNNNNNNNNNNNNNNNNNNNNNNNNNNNNNNNNNNNNNNNNNNNNNNNNNNNNNNNNNNNNNNNNNNNNNNNNNNNNNNNNNNNNNNNNNNNNNNNNNNNNNNNNNNNNNNNNNNNNNNNNNNNNNNNNNNNNNNNNNNNNNNNNNNNNNNNNNNNNNNNNNNNNNNNNNNNNNNNNNNNNNNNNNNNNNNNNNNNNNNNNNNNNNNNNNNNNNNNNNNNGCGGGCGACAUCGCCUCGUUUAUAUAUAUAUAUAUAUAUAUAUAUAUAUAUAUAUAUAUUUAUAUAUAAAUAUUUAUAUAUAAAUAUUCUUAUAUAUAAGGCAACGUCGCGUCGCCGAAAAAGGCGACGCGAUGUCACCUUUUAUAAUAUAUAUAUAUUAAUAUAUAUAUAUUUCGUUCCGUCCGAUAACGGGUUGUCACGGCCUUAGCUGGAAUUGCCUAAGGCGUGAGGCACCCUUGCGGCAAAGAUGCGAACUUAGCUUGCGUUGCCUAAGUCGCGAGGCACUCUUGCGGCAAAGACGCGAACUUAGCUUGCGUUGCCUAAGUCGCGCUUCACCGCUGCAAUUUGCGUCCGCAAAAAUUAGCCCAACCUCUCGCAGGUCCCGAAGGACCUGUAAAAGAGAAAGUUGAUUAGCUCGAAGAACGAGCGACAGACAAGUCCCGACGUAUCGCGAAAAGGGGAAGCUUUACAAGUAAUUCAGCGAGCACUUUGCGUGCCCAAGAGAAAAGAGGGAGAGGGGGAAAACAAGGACUUUAGAAGGUUGAACGAACAAUUGCAAGCAGUGUCUGCAAUACCGGACUGUACCGCCCGGUACGAGCGGUACGUACCGGUCCGAGAGGUUAUCUGUACGCGGACCGCCCGUUACCGGGCGGAACGAAUAAUAAUAAUAAAAUUAUAUAUAUAUAUAUAUAUAUAAUUUAAAUAAUCGAGGCGACGCAGCGCCUUUUGCGGCGACGUUGCCGAGGCGACACGACGUCGCCGAGGCGAUACGACGUCGCCUUUUUCGGCGACGUCGUCGAGGCGACGCAACGUCACCAAGGCGACACGACGUCGCCUUUUUCAGCGACGUCGCCGAGGUAUAUAUAUAUAUAUAUAUAUAUAUAUAUAUAUAUAUAAUUUAAAUAAACGUCACCUCGGCGACGUUGCCCCGUGUGGGGAAUGAAAAGGCGACGUCGCCGAGGCGAUGCGACGUCAGCCAAUAAAUAAAUAAAAAAUAAAUAUAAUAUAUAUAUCGAACGGUAUACCGCUCGGUAUACCGAGCGGUAUACCGUUCCGUACCGUACCGAGCGAUCGUCGAAAUUCCGGUACGGUACGAAAUUUCAGACCUUGACUGCAAGUCCACAAGCAGCUGCUCACCGGGUGCCGAGCGCGACAACAAGUUCCCGUCAAGGUAACGUGCGAACUUGCGAAAGAGUGUUCAACUCCCGGCACUAUACCGAAGCCCCAUCCAGCCCUGUGCCACUCGGGUGGUUCUAGGGUGCUGAGAUGGUUGACGUUUCGCGUGCAAUAGCGGGCUGCAGAAAUCAACCCGUGGCACGCGAAAACGGAGCUAUUUUGGGGCUGUUUUGCUCGGUUCGGUGAGCGAUCGCACUGUAGCGCUGCAACUUGUUCGAACUUACAUUUUUACAAGCAAAAUGACUCAAAACCAAGACAAAACAUGCUGCCAAGCAACUGUACAUGUAGAUGAGAGCGAUGAACGAUUCGUUGAACGGAGUUAUUGCGGGUGCACGACGACCGUUCGUGACAGGGCGGUUCGUGUACAGUUAAGCUGAUGAACCGGUAUGUACCGCUCGUACUGGGCGGUAUUAUUCUAAAUUGCAUACCUUGGUUUGAACAUAUUGCUGCUGUCUCACUCCUUGAUAAUCUCAUUUCUUCUCCAUACAAGACCAUUCUAAGCAAUUUUUUGACUCAACUAACUAGUUGAUUGUCUAUUUAAAGAAAUGAUAAUUAACAAUUUAUGACAUGCCACUAUUCUGAAAUUUCAUUCUAAUUUAUUGUAUCAAAUUUUGAUUAAAGGUUGUAGAUGAGUUAAACUGUCUGUUAGGUUAUUAUUGUAUGUUCUUCAAUUUGUUUGUUCUUUACCCUCCAAGAAAAUGCAGUUUGACUGUGGUUGUUUAAAUCCUGAGGUUCAGCCUAAAGGAAAUUAAUUUUGAACCUCACGUUAAAAGGUAUUACUCACUUUUUGGCUUUGUUUAUAAUACUAAUAAGAUGGGAUGGUUAGAAUGACAAGUGAUGAACAACUUGUUAUAAGCAACGUAACAUGAAACAAGAAUAUCAGUGCUAUAGGCAUACCUGGCAAUUAAUCAUGUUUAUAUAAUCAUGUAUUAAAAAAAUCUUUUCAAAUGACUGGUUUCUUAAAUCCAUAGACAUGUAUGCUUCGUUUUCAUUUGAAGAUAUAAGGUACAAAGACUUCUACAAAAUUUUAAAAAUCAUUUAGUUGCAUAUGCUUGUUGGAAUAAACAAAAUUCUUUCUAAGCUUCUUACUUGGGAGCAGUGAUUACAAUAGGCGCUCGGGUGAGGCGAGGCGAGGCCCAAGCGUCUUGCUUUGAAGCGCGCCGCCUCGGCACUCACUCGAGCCCAGGCGCUAGGUGCUUCGGGCGAGCGCUUGGGUUAAACCGGGCGACCGAACCAGAUUUUAGGUCUGGUUGGUCUCCGGUGCUUUAGUUGGUUCAAUCGAACCAACUAAAUCACCGAUAUCAGGCUCCCUCUCGCGAUUUCUCUGACUUCCCCAACUCUAACACUCGUGAUUUUGCCGCCGAGAUUUCUUCUCAGCUGUCGCUGCUCGUCGCUAUUGUCGCUACUCGUCGUUGCCACAAUCGCUGCUCGCUAACUGCUCGCCGCUGCCAUAAUCGCUUGUCACUGUCGCUCGUCGCUCCCGCUCCCACUCCCGCUAUCGCUCCUGCUACCGCUGUCACCUGCUACCGCUGCCGUUGCCUUAGCAGCCUCGGUCUUCUCACACUCUUCUCACUAUACUGUUAACAGUAUAUUAACAGUAUACUGCUAACUGUAUACUAAUAAUAGUAUUUUUAUUUAUUAGAUUAAUAAUAUAUGAUUUUGAUUUUAAUAUUAUUAAUUUUUAUCUAUUUAAAAUUAUUGUUAGGUUUCAGAAUAAAUGACAAGUGUAUAGAGCAACUCAAUAGAUUUGAUGUAAAAUUUUAUUGUUUUAAUUUUUGAGAUUUUUUAUUAAUGUGACAUUGUGAUUUUGUACCAUAUUUUCUUAAUUUAAUAGCAUAUUUUUUAUUUAAAUAAUUAUAUUUAUUAAUUAUAUUAUAUAUUUUUAUAUUUUAGCGUCUCGCUUCGCUCGGGCGAGCGCAUAGCGCCUCGGGCGUUUUUGGAUAUUGGCGCCUUUUGGCGCCUAGCGCUUUUUAAAUCACUGCUUGGGAGUAUAGUUCACAUUGGAUAUCGUUUUCUUUCAAGAGAAUAAGAAAUGUCAUCAAGCUACAUAAGGAGUGUGUGAGCAUCAAUUGAAAGUCUGGUUUGUACAUUUACUGUCUAGAAUGGAUUUGGUGAAAAGAGUUGGUUAAUUUGUGUUAAAGAAUUUAGGAAACAGAAGAGGUAGCUUAUGAGGUGCAUAUGUUCAAGUCUUUAGAAAAGCAUAGAAUAAUACCAGGUAGGACCUAGAAAUCCAACUGCUGGUUUUAAGGAGAAGACCAAUGGUCAUGUUUAUGUUCAUUAAAUGAAGAGACUUUUUUUUUCUUCUUGGAUGAAAGAUGUUGAUGAUGACCUAUUUGACAGACGUAAAUUUUUGAACCCUAAACUCUAAAAUUUUGAACCUAAAUAGGGAUUGUAGACGAUCUGAUGGCAGUUUUGUCAUAUAUUUAAUUCUCUCAGGAGGCACAAUCUUUGAGUUAUUUCUUUCUAAUUAAGGUGGAGUUCCACUUGAUGGAGUAUGCAAUAAAUAAUUUUUUGUUCAUCUAAUGGAGCCUAGGUUCAAGGCAGAGUGCAUGCCCAUAUUGAAGCAAUGUUAUCCUGAAAUGAGAGUUUGCUAGAAAGAACCUUGAAAGGUGAAUUGAAUUUAAAAUGAGAUGCGCUUACCAUUUAGUAAUAUCUAAAUAAUCGAAAUAUAAAUUUUUACUUAUAAGAUGGGUUAGAUAGUCAAAUUUUGUGUUAAUUUCAAGAUGCAUUUACAGAAAGGUUGUGGUUUCAACGUCUUGCAUAAGCGAUAGAAAAGAGGAACUUUCUAGGUAGAAUGCCUCGACAAUAACAAACUCUCACACAUCAAAGUAUUAUUAGUUAUAAUGCCAAUACUCAUAUAUGUCAGGUCUCCAUACCACAUAUACUUAUUCAGUUUCUAGACAUUUUAGAUUUAAAAAAUUGAACUCCAUGGUCGUGAAAUAUAAAAUAUAAAAUAAGUAUAAUAUCAAACAUUGACAAUGAGAUUGUGCAGAAAUGAUAAAGUUUUAGCAACAAUUAGUCAUACACACUUAGCAAUUUGUCAGCAAUAAAGACAAAAUCCUUAUUGUUAUAAAGCAAUUUAGGCACUUGACCAUUUUAAAGGACCCGUAGGAGUGCACCUAAUUGAAGUCAUGAAUAUCAAUUGAGUUGAGGCUUAUUACAAUCAGUCUCGGUGCACCUCUUGCCUGGUCAAACCUUUACAUCUAUAAUAACACUGUAUAUGAAGAAGUUUCUUUUAACACAAAUUUUUUGGUUUUACUUUAUAAAAAAAAAUGAGUAGGAUAUAAAUUUCAGUUUCUCCAACAAAUUAAAACAAAUCUGUGUCUGUAUCAAAUAUAUCAUGGAUACACAUAUUCAUGUGAUAUGUGCUGAGUAGAUGUCAGUAGGGUUUGCCUUACCAGUAGGAUGGUGAUAUGGUAUGUGUCGCUCCAUAAUGACCUACCGUGUGUUGGUAUGGUGGGGCAUACCAAUGGCACAGAAAAAUGGUAAAAAAUGACUUCAAAAUUUUUUGAAAAAUAAAGAAAUGUUAGAUUAGUGUUUUUAAGUUGAAAAUAAAUAUAAAUUUAGUAUAAUUUUAGCAAAAAUAAUCUAAAUUAGGAAAGAAUAGUGGUAUAUAGGUGUUAAUCCUCCCUAAUUAGCUUUCUAAGUUUGAUUUAGUCUAAGAAUCGUAGCUUUGUGGAGUUCAAGAGAGUGCAAAUGGGAGACUGAGAGAAAUACGUGAGUAGAAAGUGAUUGAUAGAGUAGAUGAGUUAGAGAGGGUGAAAGGGGAGAGAACGAGGAGGUAGAAAGGGUUUAAAAACCCUAAAUCUAGUUUAAACGAUCAAAUGGACUAUUUAAAUUCAACAAAUCCCAACCAUUAAUCGGUAUCGAUUGAAAUUCGAUUGUUACUGAUCGGUACAGGUCAGUAACGAUCGGAUUUGAUCGUUACGACUGGUACAGAUGCUGUAUCGAGUGAUACGGGGUCCCCUGUUAUGGUCCACCUGGUACAGGACGGUUCACGUAUCGAUCCCUGGUUGAACUGGUACAUAUUGCCCAUACCGCCCGCUAUAGGUCGACAUGGCAAACCAUGGAUGUCAAAUAUAUUGUUGAUUCAUUAAAGUGUCUUUCUUUUAAGUUAACAUAAUAAAGUGCGAUACCGUUAUAUUCUUCAUACUUUUUUAGGAGGUAUAAUUGGUCAUCUUUCUUUUUUGACUAGAUAAUUUGUCAACAUUAGUUUUUGUGAUGUACAUAACAUUUUAUGGUACAAAUUUACAAUAUGGAUGAAGGGAUUUUGUGAUAUACAUAACAUUUUAUGAUACAAAUUCACAAUCUGGAUGAAGGGAUUUUUUUGCAUAUUAUUUCUUGUUUGGUGUAAGAUUCUGUUACAAAUUAGUUUUUGUGAUAUACAUAACAUUUUAUGGUACAAGUUCACAAUAUGGAUGAAGGGAUUUUUUUGCAUAUUAUUUCUUGUUUGGUGUAAGAUUCUGUUACAAAUUAGUUUUUGUGAUAUACAUAACAUUUUAUGGUACAAGUUCACAAUAUGGAUGAAGGGAUUUUUUUGCAUAUUAUUUCUUGUUUGGUGUAAGAUUCUGUCAAUCUCAGAGCAUUUUAUCUUGAAAUAAAGGAUGCUCAUAAUUGGUUCCCUAAGGUUCAAGUAUGCUCCUACACUUAUGCAUGCCAGUUUUUGCAGCUAAUAGUAUGCUUGUUAUCUGUAAUAAAGCUCAUGAUAUGCUAACAGAGUUAUUUCUAUAAAUGUAUUUCACUUUGUCAUCUGUUCUCUUUUCCCCAAUAUUUCAGUUUCUUGUAAUGACGUACACUUUGAUUCAUAUUGCAUUCUUGUCUGUAUUUUCAUGGUUCUCUGGUGGUCUCUCUGAGUCAUGAGAUUAUUUUAUUAUACCCAAAAAGAAAAACACUUAACUAUUAAAUCUGCUAUCGUCUUUUGCACCUUUGUUGUUUAUUUGGAGCAUAAAUUGAUCUGAUGUUGUCCCUUUUGUUCUUUAAGGUGGAUGGGGAGUCUCUUGACAGAGAGUUGAUUCAUGGUGAGAGUAAAGGUUAUUACUCUGUACUGUUCUAUGCUUCAUGGUGUCCAUUCUCGGACAAUAUUCGUCCUACUUUUAAUGUUCUUAGUUCCAUGUUUCCCCAAAUAAAGCACUUGUUAGCGGAUGAAUCUUCUACAAUGCCAAGGUAUCCAUUAUACUCAUAUAUGUCAGUUUGCUGCAUCCAGAUAUUGCUUAUUCCUUUUUAGUGUUUGACUAUUCUAUUUCUGGUUGGUUUCUGCUCUCACACAUUGCAGUAUUCUCUCGAGAUAUGGUAUUCACAGCUUUCCAGCUAUUGUUCUCUCCAACCAGACAGCAACUAUUCGAUACCGUGGUCCCAAGGAUAUCGAUACUCUCAUCCAAUUUUACAAGAAAACUACAGGUUUGUUGACACUAGCUUUUCUUGCAAUCAUUUUCUUUCUACCUGAGUGUUGCACAUCUUGAUGUUUCUCUUCGAUCUUUGCUGAAACCUUCUAGGCAUAUGAGAUGCAAGAUCAAGUGGUUAAUCCCGAAGGAUUUGUUUAGGUUGUGUUAAGGUCCAGUUUCUGUCAUGAGAUUGAUUGUCCUUCUGGUUUACUUUGAGAUAGAAAGAUAUGCUAGCUGUUUAGUGGGAGAGAAUAUCCAUUCAAAGAGAUCAUCAUGUCUUAUAGUUACUUCUGGUCGUACUAGUGUAUGCUCGUCUGUAUCACAUGAUUGAUUGUAGAAGAAAAAAAUUGUACCAAGCACCAUCUUUGGGUCCCUUUUCACAUCAUAAUUUUCUUGUUAUGCACAGGUUUCGAUCCAGUUGAACGCUUGGUCGUCGACCAGCCUGCUAAUUUAGGAAAUGUGAGAUCCCUAAUGCAUCAGGUGGAAUCUCUAAGGGAGUUGAUAACCACGGAGCCAUAUCUGGUGCUUGGAGUGCUUUUCAUCUGCCUGAAGCUAGUCCUGUCUGUCUUACCUGUUGUUUACUCCCAUCUCAAGGCUCUCUGGGUCUCACAUGGCUGGCAUCUCAACCUGCCCAUCCUUUGUGAACCAAGUCAGUUGUUGGUAAGAGUGCUGCAUGGAAUUGACGUCAAUAAACUGUGGAACAAGGUUAAGCUGGGUAAUAAGACUAUGAAUUUGAGGAAGGGUGCAAACAAUGCUCGUGCCUGGGCUUCUACCCUAACCUCUGUCUCACUAGGUGAGUCCUCCUCCCCCUCCUCUUCCUCCUCCUCAAGACUAAUAACCCCUUGUGACUCAUGACUCUUUUCCUGUGUCCUUUGGAGAAAGCCAAAAAGAGGUGGGUGCUUUUGUAACCUCAGAAGUCUGUGUCAUUUGCUAUUCUCCAUCAAUGUAAAUGUUGUCUGUGCCUCUUUUGAAGAUUGGGUAAUGGGAAGAAAGGUCUCAUGUAAAAUUUUGAGUGUUACAUCUCUCUCUUUGUGUAUUGGAUACGUUUAUACAGUAUCUCUUUUAUUAAUUCUAUGAAAUAUUUUUAUUAGAUAUGAUAGCGGGUUGGGUAUCCAUGAAAUUUAGGUGCCUGAACCUAAGUUUGAACACAAUUUGGGUACUUGAUUUCCUAUCUUGAACUUGUCUCAAGCCCGAUCGUUGUGCACAUAAAUAUGAUUUGAGCUGGUUGGAUAGUCGUGGGUCUAUCGUCCACUCAGGAAUUCUUGUCGAAUAAUUGGGUGGGGUAUUUGCAUGAGUACAAAUUUGGACUUGACUUGGGAAUCUGAUUUUUUUUUAUCUAAAACUUUAUCCUAAAUUCGAUUAAGGGGUACUGAAACCCAUUUUGUUUAAAUGGAUUGCAUAGAGAUCAAAUAUCCAAAGAACAAAAACCAUCUUUACGGUACUAAAACCAUCUUUACGGUUUGUGCAUUGAUUGACAUUUAUUCCUGGCUCAAGAUUCUGGAAAAGGAACAGUACUGUUGUUUCUCAUCAUCCAGAGGUGCCUUUUUAAGGUCUCGAAGAACAGAUUGAAUGUUAAGAAGAUUAGUCAUUCAUAGUGUAUGCAUUGUUUUUAUAGUGUCUAACCAAAAGAAAAUUGAUGACAUCCAUGUAAGCAAAUUCAUGUAACCAAUUAUGCAUCUCUAUCUUGAUUGGACUGCAAAAACUAGUCAUCAGAAAUGAAGGCUGGAUCCUUCGUAGGAUGUAAGAGGGAAAUUAAUUGGGUUUAUUGGACAAGAAUGGAUGUAUAACUGUUUUCUAUUCAAUUCAGUCUUUAAUUGAAUUGUUUUCUCUAUAACAAUGCACAAAAGUUAAUGAAAUGAUUGGCAUCUGAUAUAAGAUCUCUAAUAUUUUUUAAAUAAAAUCUAUUUUUAUUAUAUUAAAUAUUAUAUAUGAUUUUCACAUGAGACUCGAAUACGAGAUCUAUCAUUUUAUAUAAUAACAAUGUACUAACUCGGAUAUCUCAUUGAUCAUUUUAUAUAAUAACAAUAUACUAACUCGGAUAUCUUAUUGAUCAUUUUAUAUAAUAACAAUGUACUAACUCGGAUAUCUCGUUGAUCAUUUUAUAUAAUAACAAUGUAGGAUAUCUCAUUGAUCAUUUUAUAUAAUAACAAUUUACUAACUCGGAUAUCUCAUUGAUCAUUUUAUAUAAUAAGGAAAGAUAUUUCUUUCCUGAAUAGUGGCCACCUUGCUUUCCCAGUCUUCUUUUCGCUUUUGAUAGUCUUUAUCUAUCCACAUCCCAUCUCCCAUCUCCGUCAGAACUGAUUCUAACCCAAGGCUCAAGCAAACCCCACAUGACUCCAAUUUCCAAAUGAGAAUCUCCUCUGGGAGAAAGCAAAAGAAGUAUGAAAUCAUCACUGGUUGGAAGAUGGAAUGUGUCCAUUUGCUUCGUUGGUUUGUUUGAUGACAAAUAAAUUAUUCAGGUGGGGAUAGGCUCUGAAGCUAUUAAACAAUAAAUAAUAUUGCAAAGAUUUAGGAUUAGUAGUUAUUUUAUUUUAUUCCACAAUGAUUUACAAGAAGGCAAAAUAAUUGUACUGUUAUUAGUUUGAACUCAAACAUUUUGACUUGAUAAGAUGAACAGAAUCAGUAUUAGAUUUUUGAAACUUGUGAAUGAGGGCUGAAAUGCAAUACAGAGAAUGACGUGCGACUCGCUCAGCCUAUCACCUGCAAAUUUAUCUUUCUCAUGCACGAGACAGGUGUGGUGAGGCUACGAUACAUGUCUCAUCGGUAGAAGCCAUCGACGAAAGCUGGAAAUCGAUCCAUGGGAAAGAUCUUGACAGGUGGGUCCGAUAGGGAGCUCAUUUAUCACUAGCAGAAAGGGAUAAGCUCGGGCUCUCUCUCAAACACACUGGAGAGGUGAUCAUUCUAUGCUCAGUCCAAGAUCACACGCCCUCUUCCGGUCUGCUUCCUAGCAUUGCAAUCCCCUCCUCCCUCUCAAAUGGAGAAAUCUUGCCUGGAGUUGGACAUGGAAGAGUGGGAGUUCCUCCCCGAUAACAAGGCCUUCCUGGGCUUCAGCCAUGACGGUGCCAAAGACGUGCUGCUCAAGGAGCUCAUCGUGGAUACGAACUACUUCUCAAGCCCUUCCAGAGAUGUUGCAGCUCCACUUAGCUCUGAUCCAACUGCAGGCGACAACCCAAACGACGAGGCUCCCGACGAAGGAUUCAAGGACGUCGGCGUCGUCCCACCGGUGACAUCAGCGAACCAGCGUGAAGUGGUACGUCAAGUCUUCUUCAAGAAGCUGAAGGAGAACGAACUCGUCGAUAUGAAGGUGGCCUCCAACGCCAUGGAAGCCAUCACGCCUCGCUUGGAACCAGAGCAGAAUCAGUUGGGUGAAGAAGGCAAGGAGGGGGCUCCGAUGGCGAACGAGAAGGAUCAAACAGCGUCUGAGAUCAAAGGCAAGGCUUGUGGGGAUGGCUUUGGGUUCACACUAUGGAAUUGGAGAUUGACAGGCAUCGGAGCCUUCUGCUGCGUAGCAGCUGCGACCAUCUGCAUCUUCAUCAUUGGCGGCCGACCGCAACAGAAGCAGAGGAUCCAGCUCGGUAUCCAUGCGGAUGAUAAGGUAGUGUUCAUUGAUUUUCCAUUAAUAUCCAUUAAUUUUAAUUCAGUAGCAAAAAUAUCUCUCUGUUCUUCUCACUUCCAACAUGUUAGUUUCUUAAUGGCUUUGAGCUUCUACUGUUGAUCGCAGAGGAUGAAGGCAAAAAGGCUAAACGAUACACUGUCAUCUCCCACCACCAAGGCACAGGUCUCAGUCGAAGGCCAGUACAAUCAAUAGUGCUCGAUCAACUGCAUGUUAUCAUCAGCAUCACUAAACGCAUAAAGUCCCUACUUAUUUGUACAUGGAUUGUGGGAGAUGAGUAGUAGGAGCAAGUGUGGUGCUAAUAUAUACAAUUUAAUGGCUAAAGUUAACAGAGCUUGUUUUGUCUUACGACAAAGACGAUGAGAAGAGAAGGUUGGCACUUGAAAGGAGAAGAGAAGGUUGGAAGGUCCACAAAGACAAAGGAGACGUGGUUGGGCCAUUUAAUAAGGAAUGCAAUCAAACAUCGACAUGUGAAUUAAGAAACAAACGAUACAUUAUUAUUAUUAUUAUUAUUACUCUCAUUGGAGACCUCAUCAACCUAUUAUUAAUGUAUACAUAUUACAUCAAGAAUAUACUUACAUUAAGAACAGCAAAAACAUUACCUUGCACCUACAAAUGCCAAGCCAUUUUUCAUGUAGCCAUCAACAUAAUAAAUAAGCAAUUAAUUGAAUUGAUCAUGGAAUGGAAGAAAACAAAAUGGAAUAGAAGAAAAAAUUCACAUCUAAAACCAGUUUAAUGAUUUCAAUCAACACAAAAGGAAAACUAAAAAUACUAUCAGUAAAUAAAUAAAUAAAUUAUAUAUACAUUUAUAUAGAUAUAAUAUAAUAUAAUAUAUAUCAGAAGCCAUCUAAGAAAGGAACUACCGAGAGAAAUGAGCUCCUUUCCCUCAAAAGGAUUCAUGUCGCUUUGCGCCUCCGUCUGAACCGUAUGCAGAUGGCUGUUUCAUCCUGCAUCCGGUUAUUCAAGAGGCUAUUCUCGAUUAAUCAUCAUGAUUGUAAAGAUUCAGAGACGGACAAGACAAUAAAAAGAAAAAGACGGCAUUUAGAUCGAAGGACGGAUACGAGAUAGCAAGAAAAGGAAGGGAGGACCUUGUCCAAGGCAGCUUGGGGGACACCACAUGGAGAUCAGUGAUGGAGUCCCCUCAAAAGGCCUGAGAAGGUUUGUAGUAGAGCGCAAACCCAUCUCUGUGCGCCCCCUAACUAAGCCGGACGGUACAAGGGCUUUCGCCUCCAUACGGCUACUCAAAGAGGCAAAUCAUCGAGCACCUAAAACACGAAAACAAACAGAGAGAGAGAGAGAGAGAGAGAGAGAGAGAGAGAGAGAGAGAGAGAGAGAGAGACAGAGAGAGAGAGAGAGAGAGAGAGAGAGAGAGAGAGAGAGAGACGGCGGUUGAGCAAGGCAGGCGGAGAUCAGCAUCGCGCUAGAGGCUUCACACUAGACGGCUACUAGCAGAGACAAACCAUCGAACACAUUAUACGCAGACGGCUACUAGCAGAGGCAAACCAUCGAACACUUUAUACACAGACGGAGAGAGGUGGAAGUCACGGAGUCGGAGGCGGCGGAGAAGGUUAGGGUUUAGUUAGGCUACAUAUAUACAAGCUGGGCUCGUUAAGAUGGCCCAAUAUCAUUGGACCAGAGAGCCCAUUCCCCAACCCAAUUAGUUGGAGAGUCCCAAUUUCGAUCAAACCUCCACUUGAUCAGACCCCAUCACCUUGUAAGAUAUGCACAUGGGAUCAGCAUUCCCAUGUUUUGAUCCACUGGAUCAAUAAUGAAUGUUGUACUUGGAUGAUUCCAUCCAUGAACCAUAAUGUGUGUGUGUGUGUGUGAGAAAGAGAGAGAGAGAGAGAGAGAGAGAGAGAGAGAGAGACUUUGUGCAUUCCCAUUCCACUUUUCAAGUAUAAACCACUUUAUAAUGGACACACACACAAACAAACACCAAUUUCUUGAAUGGCUUCCACUGUGUCAAACAAAACAUAAACUACAUCACAAUGCUAUGGCAUUUGCUCUUUUUUCUCUGCAGCCAAAAUGCCUCCACAAUGUUGGAUUCAUCAACAAGAUUAGAGACAUAGUCUUCUCUGCAUGAUUGCUUCGAGUUCAGAUUGGAGAAAGGGAAGACCAGUAACAAAACAUGACAAGAGUAGAUGGAAGCAAAUAAUAUGCCAAGGCAAUAAUACCACAUCUUAUUUCAUCUACUUCUAACCACAAAAAAUAGCUCACAGGAUCAAUCACCAAGCAUGACCACAGACAUCGGUACGAAUAUAUUUCUCUCACCAGAGAUGACAGAUGAGAACAACAAAUACAACAUCACGACGAAGAAUAUGAGGCAACAUGCCGCUCAGCAGAGGAAGUAUCCAAAGAGGAGGGCCGACAGCAUGGCAAGGACGGCAGCAGGCGCAGCGAGCGUUGUGGCGCCGGAGGUGGGGCUGGGGGCAGGAGCCUCGGCAGCGGCGGCUUUCUCGACCAAGGAAGAAGCCAUGACGACGGCCAUCAUGGCCACGGCGAAGAGCCUCAGCUUAGGACCAGCCUCCAUCGUCGAUAAUAUUGAAGUUAAUGAAGAGAGGAGAAGGCUUAGUUUGUGUGUAUAGACUCUCCACAGAUCCUCCUGAAGGAAAGAAGAGCAAAGAGAAGAAGGAAUGGGUUCAUGUGGUGGCGGGGAAGGAGGG
rnacentral:lncRNA from 1 species